rnacentral:rRNA from 1 species
GGCUAGCUUUGGCUGUCCGAGUUGUAAUCUAGAGAAGCAUUAUCCGCGCUGGACCGUGUACAAGUCUCCUGGAAUGGAGCGUCAUAGAGGGUGAGAAUCCCGUCUUUGACACGGACUGCCAGGGCUUUUGUGAUGUGCUCUCAAAGAGUCGAGUUGUUUGGGA